GGUUAAAAGGAUUGACCCAGCUACAGUUCACCCUUGUCCUGCCCCUUUCUUUUCAGAACUGGAAGGAAAACCUGUCCUGCUAUUAGUCCCAGACUUCUCCUCAGUUUGAAUGGUUGUAUUAGACGACAUCUUGCAGAUGGGAUAAGCAUGAGGUCUUGUGACAUUGGCAUCCAUUGGGGUUGAAAGGGACUGCAAAGAAGUAAACAAGAUAUAAGUUUUAAGUCGUGGCCCCUAUCUUCAAGGAGCUCAUGUUAAAGCAAUCUGGACAUUACAACAGAAUAAGAACAAUAUAACCACAAUAGAGGCUCCUGUUAGAAGAGAUCCUGGAAAUGAAUAAGAGGGAAAUUUAUUGGAGAACUUUAUUUGGACUGGAGGACCCAUUUGUGCAAGUGCAUUCCUUAUUAAUAGGUCUUUGUUCUUGCUGUAACCCUCAGCCAGACAGGCUGUCUCUGGCAGAAGAAUACACUUCAUCAAAAGUGUCUGCAGGUUGUCAAACUCAGGGAGGUUUGGGGACCCUCUGAGGCUGUCAUGGUCAACAAGAAGAUUUUCUGUCGGGCUUUGCCAUCACUCACCCCGAGGAAAUAAUCACUCACUACAUUCUGCAUGUUCUCAUGAUAGAGCUCUCCAUUUGAGAGAAAAGAGCCAUUUUAUCAAAGGACAAUAUAGCCCUUCUCUGGGUCCACGUAGCUUCCAUUAUCAGACCAUAAUAAAUCAUAUUUAUGUUCUCA
ensembl:lncRNA